GCGCUCCCAGAAUGCACCGGCAGUCCGCGGGAAACCAAAAUGGCGAAGGGCUGUAGCGGAGUAGGCUGUGUUUAAGGCUGGUGUAAGAACACUCACUGUUAGCCCCCAACCCUCGUCCUCAGGACUUUGGUUUGUGCGUGUGUAUGUGCGGGGUGCCCGGUGGGGCGGGUGUCCAGUAAGUGCUCAGACUCGCAGGGGAAGCGCCCACGGGGACGUGAUUGGUUGUUUUUUCCUGUAUGAAGCGGUUGGCACCACUGAAGCGACCGAAUGAGAGACUCUACAGGGGCAGGUAAUUCACUGGUCCACAAGCGGUCUCCUUUACGCCGAAACCAAAAGACCCCAACAUCCUUGACCAAGCUGUCUUUACAGGAUGGACAUAAAGUCAAAAAGCCAGCAUGUAAAUUUGAAGAGGGUCAGGAUGUCCUAGCUAGAUGGUCAGAUGGCUUGUUUUAUCUUGGAACUAUCAAAAAGAUAAACAUAUUGAAACAGAGCUGCUUCAUCAUAUUUGAAGACAGUUCUAAAUCCUGGGUUCUCUGGAAGGACAUUCAAACAGGAGCCACUGGAAGUGGGGAAAUGGUCUGUACAAUAUGUCAGGAAGAGUAUUCAGAGGCUCCCAAUGAAAUGGUUAUAUGUGAUAAGUGUGGCCAAGGAUAUCAUCAGUUGUGUCACACACCUCAUAUUGAUUCCAGUGUGAUUGAUUCAGAUGAAAAAUGGCUCUGUCGACAGUGUGUUUUUGCAACAACAACAAAGAGGGGUGGUGCGCUUAAGAAAGGACCAAAUGCCAAAGCAUUGCAAGUCAUGAAGCAGACAUUACCCUAUAGUGUGGCAGACCUUGAAUGGGAUGCAGGUCAUAAAACCAAUGUCCAGCAAUGUUACUGCUAUUGUGGAGGCCCAGGAGACUGGUAUUUAAAGAUGCUACAGUGCUGCAAAUGUAAGCAGUGGUUUCAUGAGGCUUGUGUGCAAUGCCUUCAAAAGCCAAUGUUAUUUGGAGACAGGUUUUAUACAUUUAUUUGUUCUGUCUGCAGUUCUGGACCUGAAUACCUCAAACGUCUACCAUUACAGUGGGUAGAUAUAGCACACUUAUGCCUUUACAACCUAAGUGUUAUUCACAAGAAGAAAUACUUUGAUUCUGAACUUGAGCUCAUGACAUACAUUAAUGAAAACUGGGAUAGAUUGCACCCUGGAGAGCUGGCAGACACACCAAAAUCUGAAAGAUACGAGCAUGUUCUGGAGGCAUUAAAUGAUUACAAGACAAUGUUUAUGUCUGGGAAAGAAAUAAAGAAGAAGAAGCAUUUGUUUGGGUUGCGAAUUCGUGUUCCUCCUGUGCCACCAAAUGUGGCUUUCAAAGCAGAGAAAGAACCUGAAGGAACAUCCCAUGAAUUUAAAAUUAAAGGCAGAAAGGCAUCCAAACCUAUAUCUGAUUCAAGGGAAGUAAGCAAUGGCAUAGAAAAAAAAGGAAAGAAAAAAUCUGUAGGUCGUCCACCUGGUCCAUAUACAAGAAAAAUGAUUCAGAAAAUAGCUGAGCCAUCUUUGGAUAAGGAAUCAAUUUCAGAGAACCCUACCUUGGAUUUACCUUGUUCUAUAGGGAGAACUGAGGGGACUGCACAUUCAUCUAAUACCUCAGAUGUGGAUUUCACGGGUGCUUCCAGUGCAAAAGAAACUACCUCGUCUAGCAUUGCCAGGCAUUAUGGUUUAUCUGACUCCAGAAAAAGAACUAGAACAGGAAGAUCUUGGCCUGCUGCGAUCCCACAUUUACGGAGGAGAAGGGGUCGUCUUCCAAGAAGAGCACUCCAGACUCAGAACUCAGAAAUUGUAAAAGAUGAUGAAGGCAAAGAGGAUUACCAAUUUGAUGAACUCAACACAGAGAUUUUGAAUAACUUGGCAGAUCAGGAGUUACAACUCACUCAUCUAAAAAACUCCAUUACCAGUUAUUUUGGUGCUGCAGGUAGAAUAGCAUGCGGUGAAAAAUACCGAGUGUUGGCGCGUCGGGUGACACUUGAUGGAAAGGUGCAGUAUCUUGUGGAAUGGGAAGGAGCGACUGCGUCCUGACUGUAGGACUGAACAUUAUGUUCACUGCACUGUCAUUCUCUGUAGGUACAGUUCAAAGCCCUAAAGAAGCCUGGCUUUUACUAUCUUUCUUUAAAAAAGUCAAAAAAUUCCCAAAAGAAGAUGAUACUAGCCUUAACGUGUGUGUACCUGUCAAUGUUAUGGAUAUUGUGAUAAAAAGAUAUCUUUUAAAAAUCAGAACAGAGACUUAAUUUUUUUAAUCUUAAGAUUUGUAGAAUGUUUCUAGGAUAGGAUAUUAAAAAUGAUUCAAAUCCAUGCAUGGUGUUAGGUAAUUUUUCUAAUUAUUCCAUUGAGUCAGAUUUUGUGAUUAGUGAGUAUCAGCAAACAGAUCAUGUAGUUAGAUAGCACAAGUAUUUGAAAAAAUUGUGUUUUGUUACCAAAAUGUUGGAAAAAAAUUAUUUCAAUACCCUUUAGAUUUCAUAAAGUGCAGUGUAUAUAAUGCCUAUUAAAAGACUGUAAAAUAUUGAAAUUUUCUUUCAAGCAAAAUGUAAAAAAAUAUAUUGAGCCUGUAAAUUGCUCUGUGACUAGACUUCAUUGUCGUCUUAAUAUAUUCUUUGCAUGUGCAUAUAUAUAUACACAUGUGUAUAUAUAUGUGUGUGAUUAUGUGACCUAUGCAAUACAAAUUAUGGGAAUGGGCAGCUUUGGAGUAUAUAUCCCAUAAUUCUUUUUUCAGGAAUAGUUGCAGUAUUUACACAGCAGCAUUUCUUCUCAGGCUUUUUUGGGUGCUGUUGCUUGCUAUGUAUGAAGAGAAAUGUGUCAGACGAGUUUAGUGUGUUCUGAAAAAGGGUGUGAACAACAUUGUUCAUGGGCUUUUAGAUGCUUUUCUCUUUCAGUCCUUGUAACUCAGCUGUUCAGUACCUAAAACAAAUUCAAAUAAUAUGAACAUUAUCUCCUACUAGAAGUGACGUUUUCAAGUUUUCAUGGCACAUUAUGAUUGUAAAUGUCUCUCAGUUUUAACAGUAAGUCUUUGGGAGUCCUGUGAAGAUUCCUGAAAUGUCUGUAGUAACUGUUAGUCAUGUUGAAUAAGUGUAGUAUGAACAAAGUAUUUUAUUGCACAGGGUUAACAAACAGUGUGUCGCCUGCCAAGGCUACAGCUGUUUUAUUACAACAUUACCUCUUGUUUUUAUGAAAUGUACCAAGAUUUAAAUUGAUAACUUUAUUUUACAUGUAAAAAAAAAAACGAUUUCUUUUAUCACCAGUGUUAGAGUUGUCUUCUGAUUUAUUUUUCUUUUGUUUUUGUUUGUUUUCUUUUUUAGCCAAAGAGUAAACAGAAGAAUUAUCUCAUUUUGGUGGCUAUUCAUUGUAUUCUUAAAAGUGAUUGGUGGAUUUUAGCUUAAAAAUUGGGGAAUUUGCUGCCAAAAUGAAAAAUAUAUAAAGUGUAGUGAUUACAGAGCGGUAAAAAUGUGGGUUAGUACUUAUUUAUUCCAUUGAUUGAUUAUUUGACUGUUUAUAAAGAAAGUUGCUUUAUUUCUUUAAACAUCUUCAAAAGAUGAUCUUUUCUUGUCAUAUUAUAGCCAAAAGAAGCAGAGAACUUCGUUGCCCUGCGUUUGGUUCCUGGUUGGCCAGAAGUGAGUGUUGACGGAUAUGUGAGUUGAGGAUACCUCUCCUGUUAUUUUGCAAGAUACGUCCAAGUAAGCGUGUUUGGUUUCUACUGUGAAUACAGAAGAUUUCUAUUAGCAGUUUUGGGGGGUAGAACUAAUUCUGUUUUGGGGGGUUACUUGAUUGAGUUUCUAUUAGAUACUAUUAAAUUUUUAUUGGAACAUAAUCUGACUUGCAUUGUUGUAGCACACUGUUUUAUAAUGUGGUUCUAGAGUUGUUUGACAAUGUGAUGGCAAAGGAAGAUGUCCAUGCAACUUUGGGAAAUAGUAAAAAAAAAAAAACCUGUGUGUGAGGAUGUUUUCCUCUUUAAUUACAUUUGAGUAUCUUUAUGAAUACACAUUCCCAAAAUUCUCCCUUGGUUUCCUCUGUGGCAGUUGGUGGGUCGUGUCCAUUCCUCAGGAAAAUAAAAACUUGACAGUUAAAUGUAAAGGAAGAAUUUUAUCUGAUCAUGGAUUCUUUUCUAACUAAUAGCAGUUAAGAUACCAGAUGUCUGAUAAUCAUUUGUAGGUGAGUUUGUUGUGGAAGCAGACUGGCUUUUGGAAUAGCAAAUAGAUGGGUACAAGUACAUUAUUUGUAACCUUUAAAUUAUAGUAUCAAAAUGUCUUGGAGAAACAGAUAAAUACUAUGUUGCCUUUAUAUUUGAAAUUAGAAUAGGAGUGCAAAUGAACAGGCUCCCUCUUUUUUUCUCCUCUCCCCUCACUUCUACCCAACACAGUCCCUCUUUGCUCCCUUUGGAGAUGACAAGUAUUAAAUCUGGAUGGUUAGUAAGAGCUCCUCAUUUUUGCAGCAUCUUCAAGGAAUGUGAUGUCUCAUUCAGGAAAACUUUCCAUUGGAUUUAAGCAAACAUGCAAAUGAACAAAACCUCCAUAGAUGAAAAACCAUACAUAUUAAAUAAAACAAUAUAUUUUGUCAUUAUCAUUAGUGUAAUUUCCAUUCCCACGGUAUUCAGUCUUUAUUUUUCUUAAACUCUAACUUGUUUAACAAUAAGGGUAAUGUAGUCCAUAAACUGGCGUGCAUUGAUUCCUGAGAGGCAAGGAAAUCUUACCGAUCACCCUGAUAAAUCUAGUACCCAUCUGACACUAUAUAUAAUUAUUACAAUAUUGUUAUCAUUUUUAAAAAAUUUUAUUUUUAGGAAGAGAGAAAGGGAGAGAAAUAUGGAUGUGAGAGAAACAUUGAUUGGUUGCCUCUCACACACUCCCAACUGGGGACCUGAUGUAUAACCCAAGCAUGGAAAUCGAACUGAUAUGCUUUUGUGCUGUGGGAUGACACCCAACCCACUGAGCCAUUUCAGUCAGGGCAUUAUAUUAUUGAUUAUAUUCCCUGUUUACUACUAUUCAUCCACAUGACUAUUGUGUAACUACCAAUUUGUACUUCUUAAUCCCUUGCUCCUCUUCACCAUCCCCUCUACCCUCCUCCCAAUCUGGUAACCAUCAAAAUGUUCUGAGUUUCUUUCUGCUUUGUUUUUAGAUUCUACAUUUAAGUAAAAUAAUAUAGUAUUUUUCUUUUUCUGUCUGACUUAUUUAGCAUAAUAUUCUGUAGGUACAUAUGUUGUUACAGAUGACAAAAUUUCAUUCUUGUGACUAAUACAUUGCAUCUAUGUACCGCUUCUUCAGAGCCACUUAGGUUGCUUCCAUAUCUUGCCUGUGGUAAAUAAUGCUGCAGUAAACAUAUGGAUUAAUAUGUAUUUCUGAAUUAAUUUUGGGUGUCUUCAGAUAAAACCUAAAUGUUGAAUUGCUGGGUCCUUUGUCUCUUAAUGUAGCCUUUGUUUUUAAGUCCAUUUCAUCUUGUAUAAAUAUUGCUACCCACCUUUGUCCUUCAUUUCCAUUUUCAUGAAAUUUUUUUCCAUUCAUUUACUUUUAGCCCAUGUGUGUCUUUUGAUCUGAAAUGAUUUUCUUGUAGGUUUCAUAUGCAGGGGUCUUGUUUUCUUUUCCAUUCAGCCACACUGUCUUUUCAUUAGAACA